GUGAUGUUUGUGGAAAUGUGUGUUUACUUU
rnacentral:piRNA from 1 species